rnacentral:rRNA from 1 species
AGUGAACGCUGGCGGUAGGCCUAACACAUGCAAGUCGAACGGCAGCACAGUAAGAGCUUGCUCUUACGGGUGGCGAGUGGCGGACGGGUGAGGAAUACAUCGGAAUCUACUUUUUCGUGGGGGAUAACGUAGGGAAACUUACGCUAAUACCGCAUACGACCUACGGGUGAAAGCAGGGGAUCUUCGGACCUUGCGCGAUUGAAUGAGCCGAUGUCGGAUUAGCUAGUUGGCGGGGUAAAGGCCCACCAAGGCGACGAUCCGUAGCUGGUCUGAGAGGAUGAUCAGCCACACUAGAACUGAGACACGGUCCAGACUCCUACGAGAGGCAGCAGUGGGGAAUAUUGGACAAUGGGCGCAAGCCUGAUCCAGCCAUACCGCGUGGGUGAAGAAGGCCUUCGGGUUGUAAAGCCCUUUUGUUGGGAAAGAAAAGCAGCAGGUUAAUACCCCGCUGUUCUGACGGUACCCAAAGAAUAAGCACCGGCUAACUUCGUG